rnacentral:lncRNA from 1 species
AGGAAGGAGUUUAGAGAGCUUUGUUCCUACUGGAGUGGUCCACGCAAGUUGCUUCACUUCUCUGAACCUCAGUUGAGUUUAGAAAGUGUCUUCAAUGCCCCAGUUCAGCUUAAUGUAGUCCUUGGAUUGUCAUACUCUCUGCCUAGAUUAAAAACAUCUGAGUCCAAAGCAAAUGCACAGGAAAGGGAAGGAAAUGCUUACUGUUUGAAGAUCUGUACAGGGAUUGGUGGUCCAUUCUUCCAGGGUAAAGGCAUGUUACUACUGCUCCUCAACAGACUGGCAUCAUACGGAAUUGAGGUAGAAGCAUCCCUCAGGAGGCAGAAAUGAAAAGAAUCCUGCUUCUCUCCAAAGCUUUCCCCACUACAGUCUUUCUACUUCAAAUCAGAGUAAGUUCAUUAGAUAUCCACCUUAAAACUGUAAUGGUGAUGUAGACUAAAAGUAAUUCAGAUCCUCAUACAUCCUUGUGUCCAAGUAAUUCACAUUAUCGUUUAAUCUGCAC